ACUAAAAAUAAAAGAACUGCUGUAUACAAACAGAGUAAAUAAUGAACUGGCCCCUGAACAAGUACAAACCAAAAAUUAAACCAUGAAUAAAUAUUUUAAGAAGAAACAACGAAGAUUAAACUGACCGCAUAUUAUCCAAAACAACCUAAGAACAUGAACAUUGAGGUCGAAAACAGUAAAAGACUUGCUAAAGGAAGAUUAAAGACGAACCUACUACAUAUAAUAAAGGGAAAAUAAUUCAUAUAGAUAGUUACGCGGUGUUGCGAAGGGUAUUACAACUGUAUCCAGUAAUCAGCAAACCAGGGGGGAGAGACUCGUACUUGUUGUAUUCUUCCACAACGUCUUCCAAAGUAGAGAAAAUGAACCUUUGAUCAGGGCAAGAGACGCGCUCAGCUAUACAAACCGGUAACACUCUAGGCCAACCGCUUUCAAUUAGUGCUUGCACAAGAAUUUCUAGUCGGUGUAAAGCCAUUAGGAAAACUGUGGUCUGUGUAGGGACAAAAGAAGGUAUUUUAGGCAUCGAACCCUUUUGACCAGUUCCAGUACACACAAGAAAUUGAUCGGCCACUCCACGAUGUGUAACGGGAAUACCAGCAGAGAUAGGGGCCAUCAAAGCACUACUGAUGCCAGGAAUAACCGUUGGUACAUAACCGUGUUGUGUAAAGAAUAGAUACUCUUCACCGCCUCGCCCAUAAAUAUAAGGAUCACCUUGCUUCAAACGGACAACAUAAUCACCUCUAGAUAAAGCAUCAAAAGCAACCUGGUGAAGUUCAUCUUGUGCCUUAUCCGCAUUUCCAGGAAAUUUUCUAGCAAUAAAUAGUGGAGUAUGCCUUGGAAU